UUUAUAGAGAGUUUGAUCCUGGCUCAGGACGAACGCUGGCGGCGUGCUUAACACAUGCAAGUCGAACGGAGCACCCCUGAAGGAGUUUUCG
rnacentral:rRNA from 1 species